rnacentral:rRNA from 1 species
CUUUUGCCCUCUUUUUCAAAAACAUGUCUGUUUGGAGGUAUAAAAAGUCUGGCCUGCCCACUGAUUGAAUAAAAGUUUUUAAGGGCCGCGGUAUUAUGACCGUGCAAAGGUAGCAUAAUCAUUAGGUUUUUAAAUGGAAUCUUGUAUGAAUGGUCGAACAAAAGAAAAACUGUCUUUAAAAUAAUAUUUGAAUUUAACUUUUAAGUGAGAAGGCUUAAAUAUAUUAGGGGGACGAUAAGACCCUAUAAAGCUUUAUAUUAUGGUUAAAUUUAAUUGAAUUUUAAUAAUAAGAAUUUAGUUUGAUUGUUUUAUUAUGUUGGGGCGACAAAAGUAAAAGUUGUAAUAACUGCUAGUAAAGAAGACAAUUAUAAGUGGGUUAAUAAAGUAAAAGAUCCUGUGUUUAGAUUACAAGAUUAAGUUACUUUAGGGAAAACAGAAAGAA